AAUGGUAGAUGUUUGCAAUCUACUAUGUAAGACUAUAAUUAAAUAUAGAACUGUUUUCUUUACCCUUUAGUGCUCUGUUCUAAUUUUUCAAUGCAACAAAUUCUAUGUGGCCAUCACCCAAUUCAAAUUCAAACAACAUCAACAAAGAUUAAAAUGCCUCGAAUUCAUCUAUCUAUCUAUGUCUAUAUGGAAUAGCAAUUACUUGUAAUAUGAAGGAAUGAGGAAAUUAUUAGUCCCCAUGAAAUCCAUUUCAUGAUGGUUUUUUGUUAUUCGAAGGUUUAUUUCUCAGGGAUCUAGUAUUUCAUCUAAAGCACGAAUUAUCUUUUCCAA
rnacentral:lncRNA from 1 species